CGGGUGUAAAGGAGGUCUACGGGUGCGCAAGGAUCUGGGGAAGCUAGCGCGCCUCGCUGCGGAAGCCGGGAGCUCACCGGUGUUGCGGUGGAGGUCGCCGGAGCGGUGGCACGAGGUAGAAGGCGAAGCUGACGGGCGGGACCUGCCCGUCAGUGUCUGCGUGAGGGGAGGGGCAGCGCGCGGUCCGCGCGGGGGAGCUCUCCCGAGCUGGUUUGGGCCGAACGCGUGGGCCGAGCUCCUGGGCCGCAGUGACACAGUGCUGUUUUGUUUUUCUUUUUCUUUUAUGCAGUUUUUGUUUUAUAUUUGAAAUUGUGUAGUAAAUUUUGUGCUGAUCCAAAAAUUAUGAAAAUUUUUGUGUGGGUUCCAGAGAAUGUAAAGAGUGUAGGAAAAAUAUUAAAUUUUAUUUUAUGAUAGUUUGCAUGUAUCUAUAAAUUGCCUCUGUUUAUUAAUGAAUAAACCUUCCAUGAUUUUUAGUAAAUUAUGGGUAUAUCCAAAAAUCAUGAAAUUUAAUAUGUGAUCUUAUGUUACUGUUAUCUAGCUUCAAGAAUAAUUUCAGCUCUGUUUGAUAAAGUAUGCUCUGUCUCUUAAUAAAGCUAUUUAAAAUAAUUAUAAAAGAAAUAGAAAUAAUAAUACCUUUAGAAUUUGGGUGAAAUUUUGGAUUGUUUGACAACCAUGGUUACUUAGCAUGAUAUGCUCCCUGGUUAUGAUUUAUUUUCAUAUCUUUAUGGUAUGAUAGAUUCACAAUAUUGCUUAAUAAAAAUAAUAAAGUUUGUUUAGUAGUG
rnacentral:lncRNA from 1 species